rnacentral:rRNA from 1 species
AUAUUGGACAAUGCCCGCAAGGGUGAUCCAGCCAUGCCGCGUGCAGGAAGACGGCCCUAUGGGUUGUAAACUGCUUUUAUACCGGAGAAAACCUCUUCUCGUGAGAAGAGCUGAUAGUAUGGUAAGAAUAAGCAUCGGCUAACUUCGUGCCAGCAGCCGCGGUAAGACGAAGGAUGCAAGCGUUAUCCGGAUUCAUUGGGUUUAAAGGGAGCGUAGGUGGCCUUAUAAGUCAGUGGUGAAAUCUCUGGGCUUAACCCAGAAAUUGCCAUUGAUACUGUAGGGCUUGAGUAUAGUUGCCGUUGGCGGAAUAUGACAUGUAGUGGUGAAAUACAUAGAGAUGUCAUAGAACACCGAUUGCGAAGGCAGCUGACGAAACUAUAACUGACACUGAGGCUCGAAAGUGCGGGGAUCAAACAGG